rnacentral:rRNA from 1 species
UACGUAGGGGGCAAGCGUUGUCCGGAUUUAUUGGGCGUAAAGAGCGUGUAGGCGGCCACACAGGUCAGCUGUGAAAACUCGAGGCUCAACCUCGAGACGUCGGUUGAAACCGUAUGGCUAGAGUCCGGAAGAGGAGAGUGGAAUUCCCGGUGUAGCGGUGAAAUGCGCAGAUAUCGGGAGGAACACCGGUGGCGAAGGCGGGUCUCUGGGCCGAUACUGACGCUGAGGAGCGAAAGCGUGGGGAGCGAACAGG